UUGAAAGGACGCUUUACCCCAUAGCUGAAACGGCUAAAACUCAAAGCCUCAGUUUGAGACAAACCAUUCUUCUGACUACCCAGGGAAUUUUUCAAUGGCUGAUGCGGCUCCGUCCCCAUCACCACCUCCUCCACCGGCACCGGAACUAGAGAACAAAUUGCCAGAUAGGAUGACUGAGAUGACAAAGAACGAGGUUGAGGUCGGGACGGAGGCGUUACGCCUUAUCAGCUUACUCAUGAGCCGGACCGAUGAACCUAACAGGAGGAUUCUGGGACUGGAAGCCUCACGUAACGCCAGGGUUGCCGCCACAGCAUCACGAAGUCUUGCAAACUCAUUGCAAACAAAAGACGCAAUCCAAAACGCCGAAAUCGCAGAGACAUUGGCCGAAACAGCCGAACGUUUUGUCCACUUUUUGUAGAGACAUUUUGUAGUAACGUUUCUUCCCGUCCCAUUCAAGUAAAACAUCAAAUGUGCAACUCAAUGCUGCGGCUUACCCUUUUCGGACCAAUAGUUGGGAAGGAGGUUGCGGGACUUUAUAUCAUGAAGUUCCGUAAAGUAAGUAAAGGAGAAUCUCGUUUUUUGGGAAGCAGGCUGCUUCACUAAAUCUUGAAGCUUCGAGAAUGAGUUGAUGUUUGAAAUCCCAACCUCAAAAAUCGUCAAAUCUGCUCCAAUUUUGGGUGCUUCUCUGUUUUCUAAUGCUUAUAGAACCCGAAUUUUGUAACAAUUGUAGUUAUUUACUUUUGUUAUGUUUAUAUGUUAUAAAUGCUUCAGGCUUCUCGCCACUCGAUGACUGGGGCAAAAAUUUCUC